ACACUUACCUGGCAGGGAAGAUACCAUGAUCACGAAGGUGGUUUUCCCAGGGCAAGGCUUAUCCAUUGCACUCCUGAUGUGCUGAGCCCUGCAAUUUCCCCAAAUGUGGGAAACUUGACUGCAUAAUUUGUGGUAGUGGGGGACUGCAUUGGUGCUUUCCCCUG